CAGAGGACACCAUGCAUCCGGGACAAGACAGAGGAAAGAUGAAAACCCAGGCAAGCCCUCUGCUUUUGCAGAGCGAACGUGGCCGCAGGCUUUUCAGCAUUGAAUUUGAACAAGCCAAUGGCAUCCCAAUCAUUGAAACAGGAAGCCAGAUAAACAGCAUGUUAUCAAGGGGGGAUCCGGGUGCUUCCCUUAAGCCGGCGCCAGCUGCGCCCUGUGGCUGUCCUAACAAAGUCCCAUUGACUCACCAGCUGAUUUUCCAGUGUUUGGCACCGGGGGACAAGGAACCCUCUCUGCUGGGUGGAUUUCACCCCUGCACACCGCCCCCACCACUCACCCCUCACGUCCUCCCCCAAUCCUGCCUCCCCAACGCAGACUGGGCUAAUUCUUUAUCCCAUGACCAGGUUCUAUCGGCUCUAGAGAAUAGAAGGGACCACAAGAGCCCAAGCACCGAGCGCCCUCAGGAAUGAAAUUCAAGUCUUCGAGAAUCUUUACUGGAAUAGGAACAGGGACCAAAGGAGCACCAGCACUCUGAUAAUUCCAACAGAAUUAGUAUGGAAGCCCCAAGAAGUGAAGUCACUCAUUGUUAAAUUCCUGCCUCUACCCUGCACCCCUUUCUAGCAACAGAUCUGGUGCAGAGGGUAUGUGUACUCCUUGUCUCUCUACCACCCAUCACCAGCAAGCCUCCACUCUGAACACAGUGCCAAAACUGCUCCAGCAAAGGUAAUCAUUGGCUUCAGAAGCCAAAUCUAAUAUGCAUUUUCUUUCUUUUUUUUUUAAGAUGUAUUUAUUUGAGAGAGAGCUCCUGCGAGAGAAAACAGAAGUGGAGGGAGGGGCAGGGGGAGAGAUUCCUCAAACAGACUCCCCACUGAUCAGUAGCCGGAGGUGGGGCUGGAUCCCAGGACCCAUGAGAGCAUGAUCUGAAACCAAGAGUCAGACACUCAACCAACUGAGCCACCCAGACUCCCCUAAUGUGUGGUGUUUUUUAUUUUUUUAAGAUUUUAUUUAUUUGGCAGAGAGAAGGAACACAAGCAGGGGGAGUGGGAGGCUCCCACUGAGCAGGAAGGAGCCCAGGAAGCCCGAAGUGGGGCUUGAUCCCAGUUCCCCGGGAUCCUGACCUGAGCCUAUCGACUGAGCCACCCAGGUGCCCCCAUUUCCCAGUUUUCAUGUUGCUUGACUUCUAUAGCACC
rnacentral:lncRNA from 1 species